ensembl:lincRNA
AUGGCUAUUGUGUUUAGUUAUGUUUGUCUGAACAGAAAGGCAUGUGUUUUUCUGACAGCUGAUCUAUCCCAGAAGGGAUGGGAGAAGCUGUUGGGGAGUGUUAGCUGCUGUUCACGGGCUUUGAAAGACCUACGUUGCCUUACCAGGCUGCUGGUGCAGGAAGAAUUCGGACUUCUGGUUCUGACUGAUGAAGCUUUGGGGGCUGUACUGCAGAUACCAAGGGGAUUUUGGGCCAAGAAAGACUGCACUGACAAAAAAACUAUUACUCACAUUUCCCCUUUAGUCUGGGGACAACCCCUGCUUGAUCCCCUCCCAGGACUUCAAGGUCUGAAACUGCACAUGAACCUUCACCUUGCACACAGAGUGGUAUUUGUCAGGAUGAGGACUUGGAUGGUGGUAGCCAAGCACGAAAACAGAAGCUACUUCCUUGUCUGUAACUGCAGGUCAAUGUUUGUAUUACUGUUUUAUCUUCAGGAAAGAAUGAAAAUAUACUGAGAGGCUAAAAACAUACAACCAAUACAAUUGGUUCCAAUAACUGGUCUCUGGUAUUUACUGUAAACGUUUACUGUGACAGAUCCGAAACUUGUUUCUGUUUUUUAAGAUAAAUAUGUUUGUUUCAAAUGAGCUUCUGGUAAUGAAGCAUUUGCUGGUCCUUCUGAUUCAGAUGUUAUCCAAAAUAAAUGAAUCACUCUGUACAUUUCUCAGAAUUAUACUAUAUUACUUAGCAUUUAAAAGUAGUACUAAGAAAAUACACAGCAGGAAAGCAAAGCCCAACAGAAUGUAAAUUCUUAUGGUGUUGAUUAAAUAGUAAUUUAACCUGUUAAGUGCAAAAAAAAAAAAUCUGGGGUUAUCACAAUUAAAAAAAAAACAUUUGAUUACUAAGUACAGUGGUUUUAGGACUGAUGAAAAAGGUCAUUGCUUAGCUACUAAGUAAAUAUGAUAAAGUAAUCAGAAAAGCCAGUUUUCAAUUGAGGUUUUGUAAUAUGACAGCCUAAUGGUGGCUAUAAUAAAACAAAACCUUCAAUGAUAAUGAUAACACUUAACCAAGUCGUAGUUUAACCUUCAUGGAUCAAAAAAAGGUUACUUUCUUAAAGCCUGUGAUCAUAAGUGCUAUGAUUUUGUCAAGGAGGAGUGUGGGUACUUUACUUCAAAUAAAUGUCAACUCUCAUCACAACCAUUUAGAUCUUUUUAGAGGAGGCCUAAUACACAGUCUUGUGCUGGUAGAAUUAUGUACAGUUUAUACCGUAUGUACUGUAUUUAUUUAUGCAUUAUUGUAUGUUUGUUUAAAAUAGUAAAUUGCAAUGAAAUCUCUUGAAGCAAGUAGAAACAAGACAAUGAAAUUUUCUAACAAUUUACCUGACUGUUACCUUGCUGUGCCCUGUUUUUCAGAGCAUAAUUUCCAAUACCUUGCCAAUUGUGAACAUUGUCUUAUGUUAUACUUCGUAACAGCCAUAACAUGAGUAAUACCUGGACUGAACAAAUAUAACAGUAAAUGAUUUGUUGACAAAACAUUACUACACUUUCCUAACAUGUUUGUGAGAAAAUAAGAAAGGUUACAAAAACGAGGAGGCCAUUUAGACCAUAUAGCCUGUUUGGUAGUUAGCAAAUAAUCUCAGAAUCACAUCCAGCCUCUUCUUGAAUUUUUGUUCUUUCACUGCUGUUAGCAAAUGCCUUACUCCACUUCUCUUAAACUUCCUUUAUAGUCCACGUUCUUGAAAUUGUAAAAUUUUGUUUUGGACUCUGCCUGUUCAGUUUCAAACUUAUUUUAAACAAAGCAUAAUAUGCAAUGUCAUGAUUAUAUGUCAAUAAUUGUUCGUUCACUUCUAUUGACAGUAACUCUAUCUAGUUCUAAAAGACUAGACAAAUAUAGGUAUUGCAGUCUUUCUAGGUAAACAGUAGUUAGCUAAGUCUAUGACAACAAUGUCCUAGACUUUGAUGUCAGUUUCACUUGAUGAUGUCAAUAAUAAUUUUUCCCACCGAAAUUAAAAUUGUCAAUGGUAUGUGCUUCUUCCAUCAUAAAUAGAUUAGUGGUUUAUUUAUAAUUAGACUGCAUUUUAAUUAAUAAUUGGUUGUUUUAUAGCAUACCCCUUACACUAUCCCCCUGAAUGUUUGUUUAUACAGAUCUGGAGAUCUUAGAAUGCCCAUAUUGAUGUGUAGUGCUACACCUCCAUCUGUUAUAUUGUUCCUGUGUCUUCAAAAUGGUUUGUAUCAACUUGUUCAUACUUCAUGUUAGCAAUGUUUCUGUGAUUGUAGUUGAAUCAAAAUCUUCUGUUAAUGUUGUAACUCCUUCUACUUUAAUUUAACUAUUUUAUUGUCUCUGUCUCUGGAUUGUCAGAUUGCUCUUGGUACAUUAAGUUUGUUGUUAAACUCCUAUUACAGUUGUGUUCCCAUUAAAAGUGGGUUGUGUGAUAGGACAUCAGUUAAAUGGAGAGAACAGAAAAAAAAAAUCAUAAUCCUGGAAAAGUGGAUGUAUCUUUAAAGAAUACAUGUGAAACUUUCUCACAUGUAUGCUGUUGAUUUUGACAGUUGGUAGAAUGGAGCUGAAAGUGAACAGAGUCAUUCCAAGAGCUGUCUGACCAGUUUUGUUACUGAAGAAGUACUCAUUGCGUUUUGCUGUUUCUGUACUUUGGGGACAAACUGAAAAUGAGAGUGUGAAUUACCAGUUGAUUUUAAAGAAAGAAUAAUACUACAAGGAAAGAACAGAACAGUUAUUUUUGGCUACAGUUAUGGAAUAAAAGGGUUUUAAUAAACAAAAAGUAUAUAGAAUGAUACAGUAAAUAUAAUUUUAUAGGUUUAUAGAAGCCUUUUGUUUUUGCUUUUUGCCCAGUCUUUAUAUAAAUCAUGAUAUUUUCAUGGACAUACAUUGUAGUGUAAGUUAAAUUAAAUUUAUAUGACUCACAGAAUAAAAAAACGGGGUAUAUGACUAACUAGUGAAUCAGACAAUUCACCCACUUUUCCAGCCCUGUUAAAAGAAAUUAGAGCUUUAAAGAAUGAGCUGCAGGCAUUAAGUUUAGGACACAAAUGAAGCAAGACAGCUGAUUUUCGUCAGUAAGAGGGGUUAUUUGAGUUUAUUCUUUAGCUUCAUAUGCAGAAUUCCAUGAAAGGAGCAUAACAGGUUCUUCAGCUCAAAACUUCAAGGAUUCGUUUUUUUUUUCUAAACGAAAGCAGCAGCUCAUAUGCUUGGGAUUUAAUAUGUAGGAUUCUUGUUUCUUUGUAAAUUAAAGAUUAAAAUGACAAUUACUUUUAAAGGCACUUUUAUACAUUUUUUUUUGUUAAAACCAAGAUAGCUUUGCUUUACCUCUAAUUAUUUAAUGAUGUCUUUUUGUAUUCAUUCAAAAAUGGGUUAUUGUGAAGCUGAUGCCUUUCCACAGCUCAAACAGCUUUUCGCACUGUUAUACAUUCUUGUAUUUUUACAUUUCUUUAAUUAAAAAUGUUAGAGAUCUGAAGUGUCUGAACCAGUUAUUUGCUCUUUAGUCCUCCAGCCAUUGAUAUUUUGGUUCUCAUUGGAUGUGAAGCAUUGAUUCAUUCAGAAGAAACGUCUGACACAAUUAUGUUAUGCAUAAGUAGGCCUUUGUUUACAAGAUGUAAAAAGAGCUCAAAGAUCAGCAAUCACAAUAAUUUGUGCUAUGAGAGGAAUGUUGUGUACACAGUUUAAGUGAAAUUAAUAUCCUUAGUUGUGAACACAGAGAUUACAAAAGAACAUACAGCAAAAUAAAGAUAAAAUCAGCCCAGUGGAACAUUUAUGGAUUACUUCAUUCAACAGUUAAAAAAUAACAAUGUAGAAAACAUGAGGAAGUGUAUUGUGUUCUGCAAAAAGGAAGCAGAGUCACUGACUGUUUCUAAUUGUGCGUACUGUACAUUCAAUUUGGAAUCACCAGUUAUUUUAAAGUUCAGCCCUGGGAAUAACUCGCCUACUCACUUGUGAAAGAAUGAGACGUAUAGACAUACAGUACUCCUUCUAAAUGUCCAGCUGCAGGGAUAUUCGUCUUCGGACAUGCUGUGAACUUCAUAUUACCUAGAGAAGGCACUGAUUGGAGGAGUGGAAUGUCUCUCACUGACAUCACUGGAUGCCUGUAGAUUUUGAGAAAAUCAUAAGGCCUGCAUUUUUUUCAGAAAAUCAGGUCCAAA